rnacentral:rRNA from 1 species
UACAGGGGGUGCAAACGUUGCUCGGAAUUAUUGGGCGUAAAGCGCGCGUAGGCGGCUACCUAAGUCGGAUGUGAAAGCCCCUGGCUUAACCGGGGAAGUGCACCCGAAACUGGGUAGCUAGAGUGCAAAAGAGGGUCGCGGAAUUCCCAGUGUAGAGGUGAAAUUCGUAGAUAUUGGGAGGAACACCGGUGGCGAAGGCGGCGAACCUGGGUUGACACUGACGCUGAGGCGCGAAAGCGUGGGAGCAAACAGG